AGAGGGGUAAGCCCUCAGCAUAUUGCUCAGUAACACGCGGAUAACCUGCCCUUGGGUCUGGGAUAACCCCGGGAAACUGGGACUAAUACCGGAUAAAUCAAAGAAACUGGAAUGUUCUUUGGUUGAAAGCUCCGGCGCCCAAGGAUGGGUCUGCGGCCUAUCAGGUAGUAGUGGGUGUAACGUACCUACUAGCCUACGACGGGUAAGGGUUGUGAGAGCAAGAGCCCUGAGAUGGAUUCUGAGACAUGAAUCCAGGCCCUACGGGGUGCAGCAGGCGCGAAAACUUUACACUGCGGGAAACCGCGAUAAGGGGACCCCGAGUGCCAGCACCUAGUGCUGGCUGUCCAGCUGUUCAAAAAACAGUUGUUAGCAAGGGCCGGGCAAGACCGGUGCCAGCCGCCGCGGUAACACCGGCGGCCCGAGUGGUAGCCGUUAUUAUUGGGUUUAAAGGGUCCGUAGCCGGCUUAUUAAGUCUCUUGGGAAAUCUGGCGACUCAAUCGUCAGGCGUUCAAGAGAUACUGGUAGGCUUGGGACCGGGAGAGGUGGGAGGUACUCCAGGGGUAGGGGUGAAAUCUCGUAAUCCUUGGGGGACCACCGAUGGCGAAGGCAUCCCACCAGAACGGGUCCGACGGUGAGGGACGAAAGCUGGGGGCACGAACCGGAUUAGAUACCCGGGUAGUCCCAGCCGUAAACGAUGCUCGCUAGGUGUCAGAUGCGGUGCGACCGCAUCUGGUGCCGUCGUGAAAACUUGAAGCGAGUCACCUGGGAAGUACGGUCGCAAGGCUGAAACUUAAAAGGAAUUGGCGGGGGAGCACUACAA
rnacentral:rRNA from 1 species